CCCCAUUGUUAGGAGGCGCACGACUGUAUUUAGUCCAACAACUUGCUGAAAUGUGAUUCUACCAUUUUUCCAGUCAACUCCUAAGUUUUAAAUACCAUACAUCUGCCACCUUACCAGGCAGUUUCAACCAUAACAACAGAAGAAUACUCUUGGCAAAUAGAUCCCACUCUCUGAGGGUUGUGUUGGGGCUCAGAAAAUACUACCCCGAAGUAUGACACUUUGGCAUGCUGAAUACUUUGAACUAAAAGAGAUUGGAAGGCCUCAGAAGCAGCCUCGGAAGCAGUCUCUCCCUCUGAUCUCCUGCCCUUCUGUCUCCUGCCCAUCUUUCGUCCCAGAAGUGAGUCACAGAAACCAGAAUUCUUCCCCAAGGAGUGGUGGCUGUGAUCCUUACAAUGGGUGGUGAGGAAAGGUACUAAAGUUUUC
rnacentral:lncRNA from 1 species